CUGCAGCUCAAGUGGUGACCGCUAUUAUUGGGCCUAAAACGUUCGUAGCCGGUUUGGUAAAUGCCUGGGUAAAUCGUGUAGCUUAACUAUACGAAUUCCGGGUAGACUGCCAAACUUGAGACCGGGAGAAGCUAGAGGUACUCCUGGGGUAGAGGUGAAAUUCUGUAAUCCUGGGGGGACCACCAGUGGCGAAGGCGUCUAGCUAGAACGGGUCUGACGGUGAGGAACGAAGCCCUGGGGCGCAAACCGGAUUAGAGACCCGAGUAGUCC
rnacentral:rRNA from 1 species